UGUACCAUGUGUGUGACUGGUACCUGAGGAAGUCAGCAAAGGGUGUCAGAUACCCUGGAACUGGAGUCACAGGCAGUUGUGAGCCACCCUA